rnacentral:pre_miRNA from 1 species
GUGAGUCAGGAAGAGGAAUAGAGACUCUAAGAGGAGUAGGAAUGGGAAUACGAAGGAAAGCCAAUCUAAGCUCCAACUUCAGGAGUUGGAGUUUUGGUAUGAUGAUUUUUCUGAUGCCUCUCAUUCCUAUAGUUCUUAGGUCUUCAUUCCUCUUAUUUCGGCU